UUCUACGGGCGGGCCAUGGUGGGGACGGUUUCGACCGUGCCGGUGCCUACGUUCCGGUGUUCCAAGCCUGCCAUGUGCCCGCCCACCUCG
rnacentral:antisense_RNA from 1 species